UUUGGCCUACGGGGGGCAGCAGUGGGGAAUAUUGCACAAUGGGGGAAACCCUGAUGCAGCGAUGCCGCGUGGAGGAAGAAGGUUUUCGGAUUGUAAACUCCUUUUAUCAGGGACGAUAAUGACGGUACCUGAAGAAAAAGCUCCGGCUAACUACGUGCCAGCAGCCGCGGUAAUACGUAGGGAGCGAGCGUUGUCCGGAAUUACUGGGUGUAAAGGGAGCGCAGGCGGGAAGCCAAGUCAGCUGUGAAAACUACGGGCUUAACUUGUAGACUGCAGUUGAAACUGGUUUUCUUGAGUGAAGUAGG
rnacentral:rRNA from 1 species